CCGGGCCGGGCGGAGUCGGAGCCUUAGACGCCGCCACCCGCCACCAUCUGGGUCACGGCAACAAGAUGCGCAGCGGGCGGAGCCAAGGGUGUUAUGAGCAUUCCGUUACUUAUGGUAAUGACUAACAUAUCCUUAUAUGGCGCAUAGGCGGAACAACUCCUGCUGUACUAUCGUACAUCCGUACCCAUUUAGGGGAAUAUCCUUCCUCCAGCCGGUUAGUUCCGUCUAGGCGGACAUUUGAUUGUCAAGAACCAACUAGCCGAUACUGACUGUUAUAAUCGCUUCCGCUAAAUAUACAUAUUAAUAUCUCGUUCCUACUGCUCGCUAGGGUCUACUCGCUAAAGGGAGGCCGCAGCCACGGACGAAGGUGCCGAGCCCCCUUCCAUGGCCG
rnacentral:lncRNA from 1 species